ACAGAUUUUCACAAUUACUGCCAUUUAUUUUUUAUACAGCCUAAAAAAGGGCAUUUUGCAUAAAAUGCUAGUGUUUUGAGUCACAGUGAUUUAUAAUGUUAUGCUGCAGGGUCUGGGCUUAUGGCACACAAGCGGGUCGCAAGAUCGCCGACAUCCCAUGUAAGAGUUCAGGACGGCUCAGGUAACGGAACACACACACAGUCAGCAUGUUAGAAGGCCGAUACACAGAUUGAGUUUGUGUUUCUCUGUGUAUCUCAGAGAUGCUGAACUCUGUGAUUCUGCCUCCGUGUCCUGAUGAAACCACACACAGCUUCUCGCACAGGAUCUUCAGAGAGGAGCACAGAGAACUGACCAACUCAUUACAGGAGCAGCUUAUAGAGAAGGACCUCCACAUCUCCAGACUGCAAGAUGCUCUGACCUCUGAAAGAGAAAAGGUGAAUCUCUCGUAUGAUGUGCUAUUAAUAAGUCUAAUUUAAAGUUUCUAUAGUACGGUGAGAGGCAAUAGAUCCCAUGUAGGGAUAACUGCAGGCUGGAGCAGUGGGCGUGGCGAAAUGUAGGGGGCGUGGAUAAGGGGUUAGUUUCUGUUGUAGAAUUCACGUAUGGGCACGCCACCUUCUGCCACGCCCAUUACUCCGACCUGCAGGCAGCUACACCUGUCUCACUGACCCUGUUGUCUGUGUGUGCAGUGCGCGCGGCUGCAGUGUCGCAGUAACCAGCAGGGGGCGGAGCUGAAGCGCAGAGAGCAGCACAUCAACCGCAUGAGAGACAAACUCUCACAGCUCACUGACAGACACAAACACCGCGGCGUCUGUGAGACUCAGCACUAUACAAACCAGCUCAUGUUUAACUGCUACUUAUUUCACCCCCAAGGGCCCCACAGACCUCUGGGGCCCUCUGCAGUCUGUUCCCCUCCCCCCCACUAGCAAUGCCCCUGUUCAUUACCACAAUCUGCCUUUUCUCCUUUCUGGAUUGACACAUUCGCCCUUAUCUUGACAAUAUUUAUCAUAAAUGAACAGCAUAAUAUGCUACUAUUCCUAGUAGGUUUUUAAUUUAUACAAACUCCCAGGAGUGCAAGAUGAUGUAAUCAAAAUGUGUAAAUGUUAGGGUUAAGUUACCAUAUAAAAGCCACAAAACAUUUCACUGUUGAAUGAUAUUCCCUGUCCAUAGCCAUGGAGAUAAUAAACGUGUUGCCAAAGCGGACA
ensembl:lncRNA